GACGAACGCUGGCGGCGUGCUUAACACAUGCAAGUCGAACGGAAAGGCCCUGCUUUUGUGGGGUGCUCGAGUGGCGAACGGGUGAGUAACACGUGAGUAACCUGCCCUUGACUUUGGGAUAACUUCAGGAAACUGGGGCUAAUACCGGAUAGGAGCUCCUGCUGCAUGGUGGGGGUUGGAAAGUUUCGGCGGUUGGGGAUGGACUCGCGGCUUAUCAGCUUGUUGGUGGGGUAGUGGCUUACCAAGGCUUUGACGGGUAGCCGGCCUGAGAGGGUGACCGGCCACAUUGGGACUGAGAUACGGCCCAGACUCCGACGGGAGGCAGCAGUGGGGAAUAUUGCACAAUGGGCGGAAGCCUGAGGCAGCAACGCCGCGUGCGGGAGGACGGCCUUCGGGUUGUAAACCGCUUUCGCCUGUGACGAAGCGUGAGUGACGGGAAUGGGUAAAGAAGCACCGGCUAACUACGU
rnacentral:rRNA from 1 species